UGUUCCGCGAACUUCAUACUUAUUAAGUCGAAAAAUAAGCGUCAAAACGACGAUUAGGUUGUCAUACGCGCGAACGAGAUUACUGAUUACGUUGGAUUAUUUUCGGAGCAAUGAAUUCAUCGGGCGAUUCAUUGUUGAGUUUUUUUAUGACAAAUGUGUGAAUUGUUGACUUAUUGAGGUUUAAUUUUAUUAUAUAAAAUAUGGUGAAGCUAGUUGUGCCAAGAGUACAUUGGACAAGAUUUGUACCUUUACAAUGUUUGUCAGCAAAGCCAAAAGCUAUACUCGAUGAUGAAACAUUAAAUUUGAUUUGUAACAAUGGCCUAAAAUAUAUAGGCAUCAUCCUGGUAUUGUUAAACCUAGAACACCAGUAUUCUCGGCAUGGGCAUCAAAGAAAAUAGAAAAUAUCUUGAAAGCUUUUAGAAACAGUUAAUGCUGUCAAUCACUACAGAGAGAAUUACCUCUACAAAUUGCUCUUUACACGCACCAGCCAUUUGGAUUUAGAAGCAAGAAGGUGCAGCAUUAGUUUUUAUUAAGUAUGGAACGGAUUGUUGAGAUCAUUCUAGAUGCUUGGAAAAUAAA